rnacentral:rRNA from 1 species
CCUACGGGAGGCUGCAGUAGGGAAUAUUGGUCAAUGGAUGCAAGUCUGAACCAGCCAUGCCGCGUGCAGGAAGAAGGCCUUUGGGUCGUAAACUGCUUUUGCCAGGGGCUAAGUACCUGGUGAAUAAGCCACGGCUAACUACGUGCCAGCAGCCGCGGUAAUACGUAGGUGGCAAGCGUUGUCCGGAUUUAUUGGGUUUAAAGGGUGCGUAGGCGGCGCCAUAAGUCAGUGCUGAAAUAUCCCGGCUUAACCGGGAGGGUGGCAUUGAUACUGUGGUGCUUGAGUGUAGUCGAGGUAGGCGGAAUUGACGGUGUAGCGGUGAAAUGCUUAGAUAUCGUCAAGAACACCGAUAGUGUAGACAGCUUACUAGGCACACUGACGCUGAGGCACGAAAGUGUGGGGAUCAAACAGGAUUAGAUACCCUUGUAGUC